rnacentral:rRNA from 1 species
UACGGAGGAUGCAAGCGUUAUCCGGAUUUAUUGGGUUUAGAGGGUGCGCAGGUUGUUUGAUAAGUCAGUGGUGAAAGUCUGUCGCUUAACGGUAGGAUUGCCAUUGAUACUGUUAGACUUGAAUAUGGAUGAGGUAGGCGGAAUGUGUAGUGUAGCGGUGAAAUGCAUAGAUAUCACGAGGAACUCCGAUUGCGCAGGCAGCUUACUAAACUACUACUGACGCUAAGGCACGAAGGCGUGGGGAUCAAACAGGA